AUUGAACGCUGGCGGCAGGCCUAACACAUGCAAGUCGAACGAGUGGCGGACGGGUGUGUAAUGUCGGGGAAACUGCUCGAUGGAGGGGGAUAACUACUGGAAACGGUCGCUAAUACCGCAUACCAUCGGAUGUGCCCAGAGGUGAUGAGCUAGUAGGUGGGGUAACGGCUCACCUAGGCGACGAGCCCUAGCUGGUCUGAGAGGAUGACCAGCCACACUGGAACGGAGAAACGGUCCAGACUCCGACGUGAGGCAGCAGUGGGGAAUAUUGCACAAUGGGCGCAAGCCUGAUGCAGCCAUGCCGCGUGUAUGAAGAAGGCCUUCGGGUUGUAAAGUACUUUCAGCGAGGAGGCGUUACUCGCAGAAGAAGCAUCGGCUAACUCCGUGCCAGCAGCCGCGGUAAUAC
rnacentral:rRNA from 1 species